rnacentral:rRNA from 1 species
AGCGGCGGACGGGUGAGUAACACGUGGGUAACCUGCCUGUAAGACUGGGAUAACUCCGGGAAACCGGGGCUAAUACCGGAUGCUUGUUUGAACCGCAUGGUUCAGACAUAAAAGGUGGCUUCGGCUACCACUUACAGAUGGACCCGCGGCGCAUUAGCUAGUUGGUGAGGUAACGGCUCACCAAGGCGACGAUGCGUAGCCGACCUGAGAGGGUGAUCGGCCACACUGGGACUGAGACACGGCCCAGACUCCUACGGGAGGCAGCAGUAGGGAAUCUUCCGCAAUGGACGAAAGUCUGACGGAGCAACGCCGCGUGAGUGAUGAAGGUUUUCGGAUCGUAAAGCUCUGUUGUUAGGGAAGAACAAGUGCCGUUCAAAUAGGGCGGCACCUUGACGGUACCUAACCAGAAAGCCACGGCUAACUACGUGCCAGCAGCCGCGGUAAUACGUAGGUGGCAAGCGUUGUCCGGAAUUAUUGGGCGUAAAGGGCUCGCAGGCGGUUUCUUAAGUCUGAUGUGAAAGCCCCCGGCUCAACCGGGGAGGGUCAUUGGAAACUGGGGAACUUGAGUGCAGAAGAGGAGAGUGGAAUUCCACGUGUAGCGGUGAAAUGCGUAGAGAUGUGGAGGAACACCAGUGGCGAAGGCGACUCUCUGGUCUGUAACUGACGCUGAGGAGCGAAAGCGUGGGGAGCGAACAGGAUUAGAUACCCUGGUAGUCCACGCCGUAAACGAUGAGUGCUAAGUGUUAGGGGGUUUCCGCCCCUUAGUGCUGCAGCUAACGCAUUAAGCACUCCGCCUGGGGAGUACGGUCGCAAGACUGAAACUCAAAGGAAUUGACGGGGGCCCGCACAAGCGGUGGAGCAUGUGGUUUAAUUCGAAGCAACGCGAAGAACCUUACCAGGUCUUGACAUCCUCUGACAAUCCUAGAGAUAGGACGUCCCCUUCGGGGGCAGAGUGACAGG